GAGCCCCUAUAAAGGUGCAGCAGCUUCCUUGGUGUGCCCAGGCUGUGCUUCAGGUGGGUGGCACUGGAUGAUAACAAGCAAUCGAAUAGACCACCCCAUCCACACUCCGGCCAUGGGAUUUGCCAGCUGAUUUUCCUGAUCAUGGUCUCUUAAUUACCGAGCGAUUGCAAGGAAUCGGCGCACGCAGGGGGACUGCCUACGGAGGGAUUAAUCUCCGGCAGAGACCUCUUUACAAUCCUGUUGCCACACCAAUUCCCCACACUUACAGAAGCCGACCACAGUGUGAAAAUUGAUAUUUAUGCUGAGGAGCGUCAAGGCAUCACCCGUGCACCUGUUCCCUGACUUCUCUCCUCUGGGGUUUGAACUCUGCCGCUGCAUCUCCGAGCCCUAAAAAUGAAAUAAGUGCCCGGCUGAGCCAAAUGCGAUGAACACAACUCCCCGAGAUCCUGUGGAUAUCAGCCUCCAGCUUAAAGCGAAGGAGCCUGAGUGCUGGCAGUCCUGGCCCUGCAAACUUGUUGAGCCGAAUGGAAGCAGCGGCAGAACGGGCAGAUUUUGUGAUAGGGAUUAGAAGCCUGCUGCUGGGCAUGGCUUAAAUUCAUUCCUGCCUGCCUGUGGCCUCCCUCUGUCCUGCUGGUUAAGUGGGGUCAGCCGUGGUGUGCUGCUGACAGAUUUCCAGGACAGGCAAAAAUACCGGGGGGCACUGCUCGGGUGCAGGCGCUUCUCAGUCCUGCAGAGAGGGAAGCCAAGGCGCUCCCAGGGAGCAGGAGCGAGGGAUGCUGACAAUCUCAGCGGCUCUGUUCUGGCCGGUAAUGGAUCUGUUAACGUCUUCCCUGCAACGAGGAGAGACAGGUUUAUUUCUGUGCCUCUCAGGAGACAGGCUGGAGCUAUUAUAAGAGUUAUUAAGCUAUUAUACGCAGGUAUUAAGGCUGAAAGAAGUCAGGUGUUAUGAGGGCGUGUGGAAGAGAAACCUCAGAGGUGCACAGGAGGCAGGCAGAAGAGGGGAAAUGAUGGUGAGACACCUGUGUGUGCAACCAACAAACGCUAGGGAAGGUAAACCAGAAGUCACCUUCGAGCUCCUGACAAGGUGUUCAAACUUUCCUUCUGCCUGACGGCAGAGCCAUACGGAUUCCUGCAGGGAGGUGAGCAAGAGAGCUUGGGCUGAGGAUGUUUUGCUCACCACAUCUUGGCUCUUGUUUUGGGCUUCUGCAAAAGUUGUGUCGUAGCUAACAAAGCUCGUGUUUUUGGUGUUGGUGGGAGCAAGCGUGCAGUGUCUGCCUCCGAAUUAAAAUGUCCAGCUGGAGGAAGGAAGCUGGGCGAGGAGGGAGGAUGCUAGGUAGAGCUGGUACAUGGAGAGGACGCCUCAAAACCCAGUGUGGGCAGCAUCUUGGAUCCACUCGGCGUGUAAAAGCUCUGAGCACAGCGGGAUACAGCAGCUGGAUCUCUUUACGGCCAUCUGAACAUCCACCACAGGGAGCAGAGCCAGCGCCGUGACACACGAGCGCAAAACGCUCGUCGGAGAGGACAAAUGGAAUGUGAAAAACCAACAGAAACUCCCAAAGUGGGUCAAAUUCCUUGAUGCUUCUAACAAUAGAUGCAGGACGGGAAGGGCAGGGUCCAGCUGGUUGCUCGCCUUCCUGCGCCUCCCCACGUCUGGGCUCGGUCAGGGCAAAAUUUAGGGGGGGCAGCAGAAGGCCCAGGUGGUUCCCACCAGCGCUGCGAGGAUGGAGAAAAACCCAGCAGCAUCAGGGCAGCGUUAGCUCACGUGUUAUGCCUCUCACUGAACAUAUGUGGGCUGGGUAGCCAAAAAGGACUGCGGGGAGAAACCCAAAAAAUCCAGCCUCAGGAGCCUGGGGACAGGCACGGUCCUUGCCAGCGUGGCCAGAGCAUGGGGCCAUGAACUUGCAGUGAAACUUUCUUCUUUUUUUUUUUUUCCCCUCUAUUUUCAAAAAGCAGCCCCCCUCUUCCCUGCUUUAAUCACUUUUAAACAAUCCUGGAGGAGCGAGGUGAGGGUAAAUAACUGUGGGAAGCAGGGGAAUUCUUGAACUGUUAAAGGAAUCAAUAUAAAUCUCGAAGUAACCUUGCCCUGGUAUCUUCCUUAUCACCUCUGAGGCUCUACCUGCCUUUGUCUAACAACAAUUUCAGUUAAUUAGAUAAUUAAUCUAAUUAUCUAAUUAGGUGGAAUAGCUAAUGGCAAUUCCACCUAAUUAGGCCAGUCACGGUAUCUCGGCAGCGGCGGUUCUCUCUUCCUGGCCAAUUCUCCACCUUCUGCCAUGACUGAGACCAGGCAGCGAUGCACAGCUCAUCGCUCUGCCUUUGCUUUAACCAAAACCACCUGGAAACCUUUUUACAUUUUCUCUCAAGGUUCCCGUUUGCACCCAGGCUUCCCUUCCUCCUGGCAAGGUGGCCACUUGGAGAGCAGACAGGGAAGCUCUCAGCGCAAGAUUAAUUUUUAGUGAGGAAAGCAGCAACCCCCUCCUCUUGUAAUUCAUCCUCCUGGUGUAAGAUUAAUUUUGCUUCUGAGCACAGCAACCUGUUAGGUUUGAAUUGAUUCUGGGGAAGCGUAUUUCUCCUAGGCUGGGGGGAACGUUGUAAGCAGUGUUUUUUUUCCCUUUUUUUGAGGAAGUUUGGCGAACUCAUGGCUUUGGUGCCAAGCGUGGCCCCUUCUCCUGGAGAGAUACGUGAUGCUCUCCUGCUGCAGCUUUCCUAGGAGCUGCAGGGUACCAGCUGCUGCUCCCUGGGCUGGUGCAGCCCCUGGGCUCCUCUCUGCAGGGUGCUGCAGCUGGUGGCACCCUCACACCACCUUUGGAGCGGUGGCCACAGCCCUGCUGCCCUCCCGGAGCUGCGGGGGAGCCUGUGGGCUUGCAAAGCUGCCAUACGGCUCUUGUGGUGAUGUUGUGUUUUUUUUUCCUCCCUUAAUGCCUAAAUUGGAUUUAAGGCCAUUUCUGUACAUUCCAAAACAAAUCAGCAGCUGUCUGCCAAGCAGGCAGACGUGGCCCUGAGAUAACACUGCCGUGCUCGCACUUUGCACCCAAAGCUCCCAGCGCCCCACCUUGCCAGCCCGAGGGCAAGGAAAGCCAUGUAGCACCUGAGCAGUAAAGGACAACGACUCUUCCCCCUUUGAGGCACGUUUUAUUGUUAACACCACCUCCAUCAGUUGCUGGAGCCCCUCCAGCCGUGUCCAGCACCCUUCGGUGCUGAGCUGGGGAAGGAGGCAGCUGGGAGCCAGCGCUGCGUGCCACAGAGCCCCAGUGAGAUGAGAUGGGCAGCUGUGCCCUGCAGGCACGUUUCUGCUGCAGGCCACCUCUCCAUCCUGGAAAAUCUUCCUUCCCAUAGCGGUCCUGGGUUCAUCUGCACUGACAGCACCCAGAUCUGUGACAUGGCUUGGCGGAGAGAGCCCUGCUCCUGCCUCCAUCCUCCUGCACGACGAGCACCAGAUCAACCCAUGGCUCGUUGUUUUUGCUCUCCUUGUUUGGUUGGUUUUAAUA